GACGAACGCUGGCGGCGUGCUUAACACAUGCAAGUCGAACGGAAAGGCCCUGCUUUUGUGGGGUGCUCGAGUGGCGAACGGGUGAGUAACACGUGAGUAACCUGCCCUUGACUUUGGGAUAACUUCAGGAAACUGGGGCUCAUACCGGAUAGGAGCUCCUGCUGCAUGGUGGGGGUUGGAAAGUUUCGGCGGUUGGGGAUGGACUCGCGGCUUAUCAGCUUGUUGGUGGGGUAGUGGCUUACCAAGGCUUUGACGGGUAGCCGGCCUGAGAGGGUGACCGGCCACAUUGGGACUGAGAUACGGCCCAGACUCCUACGGGAGGCAGCAGGGGGGAAUAUUGCACAAUGGGCGGAAGCCUGAUGCAGCAACGCCGCGUGCGGGAUGACGGCCUUCGGGUUGUAAACCGCUGUCGCCUGUGACGAAGCGGGAGUGACGGUAAUGGGUAAAGAAGCACCGGCUAACUACGUG
rnacentral:rRNA from 1 species